rnacentral:siRNA from 1 species
UUCGUCAUUCGAAUCCCGGGAACA